UAUGUUAACUUUGAAACUGCGAAUGGCUCAUUAUAUCAGUUAUAGUUUAUUUGAUGAAGAAUACUAAUUGGAUAACCGUAGUAAUUCUAGAGCUAAUACAUGUAUAAAGUCUUGUAGACUGCAUUUAUUAGAAUGAAAACCAUAGGUUUCGGCCUAUUCGUGAGUAAUAAUAACUAAUCAUAUCGUAUGCUUAAGUAACGAUGUGUCUUUCAAGUUUCUGCCCUAUCAGCUUUCGAUGGUAGUGUAUUGGACUACCAUGGCAGUAACGGGUAACGAAGAAUUUGGGUUCGAUUUCGGAGAGGGAGCCUGAGAGAUGGCUACCACAUCCCAGGAAGGCAGCAGGCGCGUAAAUUACCCAAUCCUGACACAGGGAGGUAGUGACAAUAAAUCACAAUGCGGAACAAUGUUUUGCAAUUGGAUUGAGAACAACGUACAAACCUUAUCGAUAAACAAUUGGAGGGCAAGUCUGGUGCCAGCAGCCGCGGUAAUUCCAGCUCCAAUAGCGUAUAUUAACGUUGUUGCAGUUAAAAAGC
rnacentral:rRNA from 1 species